UAGCUCAAUUGGUAGAGCAUCGGAUUCCAAAUCCGGCGGUUUCGGGUUCGACUCCUGACG
rnacentral:tRNA from 1 species